AUUGAACGCUGGCGGCAGGCCUAACACAUGCAAGUCGAGCGGAGCGGCGGACGGGUGAGUAAUGCAUGGGAAUCUGCCUGGUAGUGGGGGAUAACGUCCGGACACGGGCGCUACUACCGCAUACUAUCAGAUUAGCCUAGGUCGGAUUAGCUCGUUGGUGGGGUAAAGCCAUACCCAGUCGGCGAUCCGUAACUGGUCUGCGAGGAUGAUCAGUCACACGGGAACUGAGACAGGGGCCAGACUACUACGGGAGGCAGCAGUGGGGAAUAUUGGACAAUGGGCGAAAGCCUGACCCAGCCAUGCGGAGUGUGUGAAGAAGGUCUGCGGAUUGUAAAGCACUUUAAGUUGGUAGGCGUUACCAACAGAAUAAGCACCGGCUAACUUCGUGCCAGCAGCCGCGGUAAUAC
rnacentral:rRNA from 1 species